GAUGAACGCUGGCGGCGUGCCUAAUACAUGCAAGUCGAGCGAAUGGAUUAAGAGCUUGCUCUUAUGAAGUUAGCGGCGGACGGGUGAGUAACACGUGGGUAACCUGCCCAUAAGACUGGGAUAACUCCGGGAAACCGGGGCUAAUACCGGAUAACAUUUUGAACCGCAUGGCUCGAAAUUGAAAGGCGGCUUCGGCUGUCACUUAUGGAUGGACCCGCGUCGCAUUAGCUAGUUGGUGAGGUAACGGCGCACCAAGGCAACGAUGCGUAGCCGACCUGAGAGGGUGAUCGGCCACACUGGGACUGAGACACAGCCCAGACUCCUACGGGAGGCAGCAGUAGGGAAUCUUCCGCAAUGGACGAAAGUCUGACGGAGCAACGCCGCGUGAGUGAUGAAGGCUUUCGGGUCGUAAAACUCUGUUGUUAGGGAAGAACAAGUGCUAGUUGAAUAAGCUGGCACCUUGACGGUACCUAACCAGAAAGCCACGGCUAACUACGUGCCAGCAGCCGCCGUAA
rnacentral:rRNA from 1 species